GGAUGAACGCUGGCGGCGUGCCUAAUACAUGCAAGUCGAGCGAACGGACGAGAAGCUUUCUUCUCUGAUGUUAGCGGCGGCCGGGUGAGUAACACGUUGAUAACCUACCUAUAAGACUGGGAUAACUUCGGGAAACCGGAGCUAAUACCGGAUAAUAUUUUUAACCGCAUGGUUCAAAAGUGAAAGACGGUCUUGCUGUCACUUAUAGCUGGAUCCGCGCUGCAUUAGCUAGUUGGUAAGGUAACGGCUUACCAAGGCAACGAUGCAUAGCCGACCUGAGAGGGUGAUCGGCCACACUGGAACUGAGACACGGUCCAGACUCCUACGGGAGGCAGCAGUAGGGAAUCUUCCGCAAUGGGCGAAAGCCUGACGGAGCAACGCCGCGUGAGUGAUGAAGGUCUUCGGAUCGUAAAACUCUGUUAUUAGGGAAGAACAUAUGUGUAAGUAACUGUGCACAUCUUGACGGUACCUAAUCAGAAAGCCACGGCUAACUACGUG
rnacentral:rRNA from 1 species